UACAGAGGUCCCGAGCGUUGUUCGGAUUUACUGGGCGUAAAGGGUGCGUAGGUGGUGAGGUAAGUCUGAUGUGAAAUCUCCGAGCUUAACUCGGAAAUGGCAUUGGAAACUACCUUGCUAGAGGGUUGGAGGGGGGACUGGAAUACUUGGUGUAGCAGUGAAAUGCGUAGAUAUCAAGUGGAACACCAGUGGCGAAGGCGAGUCCCUGGACAUUUCCUGACACUGAGGCACGAAAGCUAGGGGAGCAAACAGG
rnacentral:rRNA from 1 species